rnacentral:rRNA from 1 species
GAUGAACGCUGGCGGCGUGCCUAAUACAUGCAAGUCGAGCGAAUGGAUUAAGAGCUUGCUCUUAUGAAGUUAGCGGCGGACGGGUGAGUAACACGUGGGUAACCUGCCCAUAAGACUGGGAUAACUCCGGGAAACCGGGGCUAAUACCGGACAACAUUUUGAACCGCAUGGUUCGAUAUUGAAAGGCGGCUUCGGCUGUCACUUAUGGAUGGACCCGCGUCGCAUUAGCUAGUUGGUGAGGUAACGGCUCACCAAGGCAACGAUGCGUAGCCGACCUGGGAGGGUGGUCGGCCACACUGGGACUGAGACACGGCCCAGACUCCUACGGGAGGCAGCAGUAGGGAAUCUUCCGCAAUGGACGAAAGUCUGACGGAGCAACGCCGCGUGAGUGAUGAAGGCUUUCGGGUCGUAAAACUCUGUUGUUAGGGAAGAACAAGUGCUAGUUGAAUAAGCUGGCACCUUGACGGUACCUAACCAGAAAGCCACGGCUAACUACGUGCCAGCCGCCGCAGUAA